AAUGCUCUACGUCUAUGACCUAUAUUUUUUUGUUCUUUCUAUCUAGAAGUAUUCACACAAUGCGUGUUGAAAUGGUGAUUGUGCACUCCUUGUGUUGCUUCUGUUUUGUUAAAAUCAAGAAGAAAUUGGCGAUACCAGGUGGCAGCACUGGUUGUCUUUGUUAUCCACUUUUUUGGCACUGAACAAUGGCAUAUUCUUCGGAAGAUGGAUGAAGGAAAAGCAAACUCCUUUCGCAUGUGCUCGGUUGGGCGCGUCGAAACAAAGGUUUUUUUUGUGACCUCACGCUGCACGGUAUGACCUAGCCUGCAGCGCAUGAGGGCAACAACUAAAUGGGUUCUAUGAACCUUGUUGUCGCAAUUACCUAGUGUUGCGCCCAGCGAGACACAUUUCAUUGGAUCAAAUCUUCCAUCUUGCCUUAAGCCAAUAUGCUCGCGAUGUCCCGAAGUGCGGAAAUUACUUCUUUGACAUUGUUCCUGUCAGUGGCAAUGUUAGUGCAGGCAAGGUGGUAUAACCCAGUUCCUCUCGUAAAUGGCAGUUGCAUCAUCAAUACGACUGAAGUUCCUCUCGGUACUUCUGUUGACCUCAGCGACCCCUGCGUGUGUUUGUACUGCAAUCGACUUAAUAUGACUCAUGGCGAUUUAGUAACCAUUACAUGCGUAAGUGUGGCCGCCAGGCCACCCUUCAAAGUCGUGCCCGGUGGAGUUGGGGUCUUUCCGGACUGUUGCCCGAGGAUAAUUUGCGACGACAACUUCCCAUCCUCUUGGUAUGCUUGAAGCUGCAGAGGAUUAUCGGACUCGUUUUUUCUUUCAUUGUCAAACAUAGAGAAUGUACCGUGGCGUUUCAUAACACAUGCUUUCUCACCUAACAUAUCUCUGCGAUGGAAGUACUGCACGUGGUAUUCCGUUCAGCGUUCCGAAUAACCAGCACAAAAAUCCAGCAACUAGUGUUCUUUGUGGCCCCAGUUUUGUAAUUGUUAACUUAUGGAAAGUAAAUAAACAUAUUAACAUUUACGUGUAGGUAAAAUAUUAAAGCAAUAAAAUUUUAUAAAUGAA